rnacentral:rRNA from 1 species
AACGAACGCUGGCGGCGUGCCUAACACAUGCAAGUCGAACGAGAUCUUCGGGUCUAGUGGCGCACGGGUGCGUAACGCGUGGGAAUCUGCCCUUUGGUUCGGAAUAACAGUUGGAAACGACUGCUAAUACCGGAUGAUGACGAAAGUCCAAAGAUUUAUCGCCAGAGGAUGAGCCCGUGUAGGAUUAGCUAGUUGGUGUGGUAAAGGCGCACCAAGGCGACGAUCCUUAGCUGGUCUGAGAGGAUGAUCAGCCACACUGGGACUGAGACACGGCCCAGACUCCUACGGGAGGCAGCAGUGGGGAAUAUUGGACAAUGGGCGAAAGCCUGAUCCAGCAAUGCCGCGUGAGUGAUGAAGGCCUUAGGGUUGUAAAGCUCUUUUACCCGGGAUGAUAAUGACAGUACCGGGAGAAUAAGCUCCGGCUAACUCCGUGCCAGCAGCCGCCGUAA